UUCAUUUCUGUUGCCACUUGUUAAAUAAAUGAUAAUUGUUCCUGUGGAUCAAUUCAUUUCUGAAAGGCUCGUGCAGAUGGGAAUUUCAAAUUAUUGAUAUCAUAAUGAAAAAAUCUUAAGUUACUGCAUGCUCUGUGUUAGUGUAUUUCAGCAAUCUCUUCUAUGAGAAAUGUUUCGAUAAGAUCUCUUGGUGCUGUUCCCAGAACAUGGUUCAUGUGAUAUCAAAGAAUCCUAUUGUUUUGCUAGGGACCUUUUUGUCAUUGGGAAUUUGGACACUGGAUUUGCAUAGGGUUGACUAAGGCCAGAAUACAAAGACAAAGAUUCUGUGCCGUCUGUUCCGGAAGUCCAUCUUCUGUCAAAGGCCACUGUAUUUCUUCAUCUACAAAAAUUAGCGACCCGAGCUACCUGAGAAGUGGGAAUUCUGUCUAUACUCACUGUAGUACUAAGUAGCAUCGUUGUCUCUCUAGACAUCACACAAGGCCAGUGGACUUCACCUUUCUUUUUCAUCUGUGACCCAUAAAUUUUCUCCAUUGGCCAGACAGUCCUGGGGGAACUGAAGAACUUUGGAGACCGGAGAAAAAGGUAAAACAAGAAAUGGGAGAAGUGCAGCUUGCAAGUAAAAAACAUAAUGCCAUUGAUCAGUGACAGCUUAGUGGAGAUGAGAAGGUGAGAACAUCCUAAUACGUCAUAUUUUGCUUUUAUUAAAACUUAUAUUUGCAUUUUCUUGCAAGUGUGCUAAAUUUAGAUCAGAUGAAGUAAGUGGGAUUACGCUCUGUCUUCUAUUUCCUUGUAUUUAUAAUUACAUUUAUUGAAAUCUGCUGCACUGUAGGUGCUAGAAUACAAAUAACUAAAAAUAUCGUUGUUAAGACAAAAUGAUAAAAAAAAAAUUAUAUCGCAUAAUGAAACAAAUUGAUUUAGCAUUUGGUACGAUGUAGAUAAUUUUUUUUAUAACAAGACACAAAAUUCACAGCAUAACAGUUUCUCUCAAAUCCCAAGGUAUUGCUCUGCUUACUGAUGGGAGGGUUAUGCAACACCUGUUAGAAUGCUGAGACACUGAUUCGUCCUACUUGGUAUUCUUCUUUUGUUUUGAUGUCGCCCUUUCUGUCUUGCUCUCCCUCCACAGUUUCCAUGACGAUCGGGUAUCAGGAAGUUCUUGAUUAGGCAAGUGUUUUAGGGUCACAGUCAUAAUUAAGUCGAUACCUUGAUUGCUUGAUUUUCUAAGUGGAAAUUCUUUUUUUUUUUUUCUUAAAGAUCAAAUUUUACUUUGUAUUAAAGACUUUUCAGCUUCAUUGUGUUGUAACCAGAAUGCCUUUUUUUCGAAAGAUUGCAAAACUUAUUAUCUUUGCUAUUUACUCUCAUCUGCAUAUACAAAAAUAUAUGUGCAUAUAUAAGUGGACUGUGAUUGCUUUGCUGUGACAGUUGCCCAUCUACUGUAUACAGUCUCAGCCCUGUGUUCGUUUCACAUUAUUUACCCUAAUAUUCUCAGUUGUUACUGCAGUGGAUCAACAGAUCAGCUGGAGAAGUUACAUGUACACAUUCAGUAAUUCAUACGUACAUAUGUGGAUACAUUAGAAAGGGCUUAUGCCUAGAGCUCUGUAUGUUUUUAAGGUUCCUUGACCAAUACCAGCCAUUUAACUACUCACAUAAAUAGAUACAUCCUUUUUUCAAUUCUUGGUGUAUACUUUUAAUUAGAUAUACAAUAAACAGUGUUGAUGCACUUCUGCAGAAUCUGCACAAAAGGUCUUGAGUUCGUGGAUGACUUGUCAGAGGUCUCCUAUCACAUACGCUGUCUCACUGUGUUCAGUUUACAAGCCCAUAUUCUUUAAAGUAACACAUCCAUCCCCUUUCAAUACAAUUCUGUCGUGACUUACAGAGGCCAGUACCUGGUGCUUCCCAGCUACAGUGAAGAAGGGAAAACUGACUAUCACACUGUUCAACCUAGAAAUUGGAACAGUAGGCAUUAUGUUUUGUAAGCUUAAAUGCACUGUUCAUGUUGAAAAGUGACUGCUAGAUGUAAUAUUUGUAAAAACAGCCAAGAGUUUGGAUUGCAGGUAUCUGCGUGAAACUGCUCAGAAAUGAUCAGCAAAGAAAGAAUUACAUACUGAACGUGUUCUCCUGUUGCUAAAAAUUCACGUACUCAUUUUGCCACUCAUUUUCUCUCCCACCAAAAAUUAGCAGUUAUGAAAAAUACUGUGAAACAUUCUUCCUGUGAUUCUUGAAUAAGUAGAAACCAAAGCACAGAAUUCAGGUUUGCUGCUUAGAAUACGUGAACAUCUGUCAUAUUUUCUGUGAGUGUGAAGAAUAUUACUAUUUUAUGAUUAAUUAAUUACCUAUGCACCUAGAAGAAAGCAGAGCUGGAUGUCCCUUUGAGAGGUCAUUUAUUUCAGCAGCUCCCAAGUUUAUUGUUAUAUUAUUUCCUUGGGAAGAGGAAGGUCAGUCUUCCACAUGGACUUUGUACCUCUAUGGUAGCAUAAUCUCCAACACAGUUCAGUUUCAGAUGAGGAAUAUGAGAAACGUGCAACAAGUCUCCAAUCAGCUGGCCAUUGGUGGUGCUCAAAAUAUGCCCUUAUGUGGAAUACACGUGGUGGCUUCACUCCCUUCCUGUCCUGGCUGAGAUUAAAUACAUUCUUCAAACAGCUUUCAGAGGGAACUUUCAGGAGAGAAGGCAGGAAAAGGGGAAAGAUCAGAUUAUAUUCUGCUGGAGCUUUGUAUGAGCCUCCAAGCAUAUGCCAGUACCCUCCCAUAGCUCACUCAAGAACUGCUGAUCAAAUCCAUUUCCCAUGCUGAAAGGCAGGAUCAGAUAUAAUUAAACCAAUGCUGACAUGUUUGUCUAGCUUAUGUUAUAGGAUCUUUGUAACUGGAGAUCUUUACUUUCCAAAAUAAUUUGUCAUUAUGAUUGGAUAAUGCUUUUUUUUUUUUCCUUAAUGUCUUUUUUAAAUCUUCAGUGGUCAGUGUGAAGGGCCAUGCAUUUUUGUACUUUUCACUUACAUUGUCCUUUUCCUCUCACAAGUAAACUUUCUCAUAACUGAGGACUACUGUUCACUUCAGUCCUCUUUUUUCUAAACUUUGUUCUGAAUUUAAUUAGAAGUUAAUGUCUUUUACACCUUUUUUCUUGUUGCUUAUUUGAACUCUAUCCACCAUUAAGUGUGGCUUACAAAACUGAAUAGAAGGUCUUAAAACAUGUCUUAAAGCAGCAUUCCUUGUUUCAUCUCCUUUAGCAAUGUCACAAAUUUAAUGACAUAGUUGUUGUCUUCUCUUCAAAUACUUUUUAAAAAAUUGUAAUUAAUACAUUAUAUUAAUCAAUCAUUAAAGAGCUUUUCCUGAAGACUAAUAUCAAAUUAAGGAUGGUGUUUUAUCCGACACACUUAAAAUGGCUAUUUUUUCUUAGCUUUAGGUUUAAAAAUGGUUGAAAAAUUAACCAAAUCUGUACCUCUUGGCGAUUACUGAUUAUUCUAGCAGAUUUUUGGAGUCAUGAUGGAAAACAGGUAAACUCCUGCAUAUGUUUGUGUUUUGUUAUUAUGUGUAUGGCACACUAUAAUUACUAGUUCAAAAUCCUCUAUUGAAUGACUCGCUCAGACAGGAAAAAAGUGAGGAAGCUGGCUAAUGCUGAUAAAGCUACUUCACAAAAUACAAAGAGUAAAUGAAUAGAUUUUGUGCUUCUUCUGGGGAAUAAAAGAUUUUGCACAAAUUACUGUGAGGUGUCUUUUCAAUGAAAAUGACUCUUGCAUCAUUUUCUGCUACUCUGCUGCACCCUAUCACUAAGGCCAUUAAAACUGUGGUUGAGUAUCUUACCAGAUUUUUGCUACCUUAAAAGUGAGACAAAUAACAGGUAAGUGAUGGCCUGGAAUGGCACAUAUAUUAGUUUAUAUUUACACAUCUGUUUUUUCAAACUGUUGUGUUCUUCUAUACUGAAAAUGCGCGGGACAGUUGGGCAGUCUUUACUCAAGGGCUACAUGAUUUUUUUUUAAUUAGGCUUUGUUCUGCGUCACCUUUACAGAUCAAAUUUUGACCUGAAAAACUGUUCCAAGGUUGGUGAACACUCCUAUUAAGCAAUGUUGUAUUUAUAUGUAUAUAUGGCAUACGUAUAACUCACUUGUGAAAAGCCUCUUCUUUUUCCAGCUGAAGUAGGUCCUGAUUAUUCCAUUCCAGAGUACAUAUCCAGUCUCAACAAUACAAACAUCAUAGAGACACUCUGAGCUGAAGAAGGUACAAGUUAGAAGUCCAAGCAUCAACCAAAAUAAAGAUAUUCAGGGAAAAAGUGGUUAGAAUGGCAGCCAGCCCUUUCCUCCAUGCCCAACAACCCAGUGAGAUUACAGCAUAAGGCAACAGGAUUCCUAUGUCUAUAUUCAUAGAAAAGUAAGAUUUGGAAGAAACUUACCAUCUUUUAAGGCUUGCACAGUAGUAAUGAGAGACAACUGAGUGAAACUGUGCGUGCAAGUUGUUUAGAGCUCUUGGAAUUUUGGUCAGUCUAAAUAGUUGUGCUCUUUUGUGAUCUAAGUAUAACAGCAUACGUGGUGAUCUCCAGUGGUUUUUAAGGUUUAAACAGAAAUCUCCUUGAAAUGAUGAACUGAAGUAAAACUAAGUCAAAGCAAUUUUGCAGUUUAUAUUUUAACGGAGUUGAUAAUAUGAGCACCACACUCUACUGAAACUUGUAAUACCCUGUUAAAUAUUUUAUCUUCCUCUGUUGUUCAAAAGCAUGGCAAAAAUUGCAAUACCAUAGUAUUCAAUUACUUCCCACUGAGUUUAACAAUCCUCACCCAUCAGCUCAGCCCUGUUAUAGAGCCUGGCAGCGGAUGAUUUUCACCAGAACACAUUAGUUAAAUGCUUUCAGUUAAUGCAUUUAAACCUUCAGUGAAAGCCUGGGCUCUUUGCUGAAAGCACAAACAGUAUCUUACAGGAGCGAGCUUAGUGCCAUCUCAUUAAUCAGUGUUUGCAUUACUGGCUUUUGUUCAAGAGCUUGUACACAGUGUCUCUCCUCAUUUUUGCUAUGCAAGGCAAAAAUAAGGAGUUUCAACAUCAUAAUGUGUUCAUCUUUUUUUUAUAUAUUGAGCCAGUUUUUGAACAGAAUCUGCUUUGUGCACCUCAGCCAGUUAUUCAGGCUGUUGGACAGGGGCACAGGCUGCUGAAAGUGUGUAUGUGCGCAACACUUCUGGAGCAAUGGCUGAGAAGGAAAGGUGCAAGCGCUAGAAAAUGUCAGCAGUUUGUGUCAGUUAGAAAAGGAAAGGUGGCUGAAAGCAGCCAGCCUGGCAGAACUUGCUUCAGUGAUAAAGACUUGAAUGAAAGCAUGUCUGUCAUUUUUAUGCUCAUCAGAUAAUUGCAUUUGGAAGCUGUGCUUAAUUUAGUGAGAAGGGAAAACAGGACGAGAAUCUGGGCACACUCUGCAUAUCUCUGUGUGGAUUUACUUUGGCCAUAAGGCUUGAGAAAGAGCCUUACCAAAAGAUCUGUUGUUUUGGCAAGUACACAAACAUAAUCUUAAAAUUAAUAACUUUUCUCAUGUUUAGUUUUUCAAGUAAGCUUCUGCCUCGAGGCUGUAUUCCAAAAUAUCAAGAUUUUUUUUUAAGCCUUCAUGUAGAGAUGGAAUAGAUAGAGGAAUAUUUCUGGUUACAGUCAUCAUGUUCUUCCUGCAAUGCAUUUCCAGAGUUUGAAAUACUAGGAAAAGUUUUAAGUUUCCUUUAGGUUCAUUUAAUUCUGGUAAGUUUUAGUAGCUUUUUACAGUUGGCAGUUACUGAAGCUGCAGCUCAUUUUCUCUAGCGCACUCCACGAAAUCAGCCUUUCAAAUCUGUGGGUGCUUUCUUUUCCACUGCUGUACCUCCUGCCAGCAAGUGCAGGUGACAAGUCAUUAAAUAUAAGAGAGUUGUUAGCAAAAAAAAAGUUAUUUAAUAAAAGACUUGUGUCUGACCUGCUUCCCCCAAACCAAUUAUGUCUCCCUGGCAACAGUCACAAGUGUGUGACAAAAUAGUCAAGACUUCUCUACAGAAAAAUUAAAAUACUUAAAAUGUCACUUUUCAAGGAAGCAUCCUAUUUUAUACUCAAACAGUUUUCAAAAGUGCAUAGCGUGCUGCUAUGAAGACACGCCUUUCAGUUCAGUAAAGCGUCAUCAGCUAAUGCAUCAAAGUCCACUCCUCACGACAAGCAGGGCCUGCUGCUGCACAGCCAUGAGAAUUAACGUGCUCACAGGUAGGUAUUUCUUCUGAAGUCAACUUUAGAGUAGCUCCAAUGUGGUAAUCACAAUGGCUUAGGCCACAAUUUCAUUCUAAUGUUCUUUCUACAAAGUCACCCUGAAGUACCUUCACAGUCCACCACAAAUAUUUUAAUACAUAACAAUACUAAAUAAAAUCAUGAGAUAGAUGAAUUUGCCACUCUGGUGUACUCUGUCAUUAGAUUGCAGCAUUAAAAAUCAUAGCCAAGAAAAGUAGGCGUUUUUACGUAGAAAAAUUCCAGUGGUCUUUUUCUGUAUGAUUUCAAUUACCACUACUCAACACUUCCAAGUUCUAUGAAAUUAAUAUCAACGGUUCUUCGCAGAAGUGGAAAUUCUGGUGAUCUAAAUGUGAGUCAGAAAUCCUAGUCACCAUUUCUAAACUUCUUGAAAAGUCUCCCAAAAGCCGUUUGAUAACAAGAUUGUCUGCAGCCAGUGUCUCAGCUCUACUGGAUAACUGUAGAGCUCACCGUGUUCAGCUGACAUUGCAGUUAGCAUCUCACUAUUACAUCCUGGGGGGGAGGGGAAGGAACCUAAUUUUACUUUGUUUGCUUUUCUGAUGGAAUUUACCAUAUAUGUGUAUUUGAAUUUUUUUUGUUCUUAGGAUUUAAGUUUUGGAUUCAUUUGAGUGCUGGGAUAAAGUUAUUCCGGGUUAUGAAGGCUAUGAUCACUGUGAUCUGCCAACUCCAACUACUGGAAGGAGGAGCAAAAGCAGCCCCGUCUGCAGGUACCUUACACAACAGCAACUGGAGGAGUUGUCUACGGAUCUUGCAUAGUGCUCAAGACCAGCCUAGAAAAAUGCAGUGAGUCCAACGCACGAGAAGUGGAACCACUCAAUAGGACACUGUUCGUUAUCACAUCCUAUCAUUUCGCCGUAAGACACUUGGUUACAUAAGCAGUAAGUUGGUUCAUUGGGAUCGAUUGCAAAUUCCAC